rnacentral:rRNA from 1 species
UACGGAGGAUCCAAGCGUUAUCCGGAUUCAUUGGGUUUAAAGGGUGCGUAGGCGGAUUGAUAAGUCAGUGGUGAAAUCCUGCAGCUUAACUGCAGAACUGCCAUUGAUACUGUCAAUCUUGAGUACAUUUGAUGAGGGCGGAAUGUGUCAUGUAGCGGUGAAAUGCUUAGAUAUGACACAGAACACCGAUUGCGAAGGCAGCUCUCAAAACUGUAACUGACGCUGAGGCACGAAAGCGUGGGUAUCAAACAGG